rnacentral:rRNA from 1 species
ACGCUCGACACCUACGGGAAGCAGCAGUGGGGAAUAUUGGGCAAUGGGCGCAAGCCUGACCCAGCAACGCCGCGUGAAGGAAGAAGGCUUUCGGGUUGUAAACUUCUUUUAUCAGGGACGAAAUAAAUGACGGUACCUGAUGAAUAAGCCACGGCUAACUACGUGCCAGCAGCCGCGGUAAUCUGAGCGGGCUGGCAAGGC